AGUUUGAUCUUAAGCAGAUACAUGUCCGACUUGAAACUGUCCACUCACAACUUUUUCCCUGACAAAGAACAAGUCUAAUUCUACAUGCUUGAAUUUGGAGUGCAUAACAGGAUUCCCAGCUACUGCAACUGCAGUCGAGCUAUCACACCAUAUCAUCGCUUUAUUUCUAAUCGGAACACAUUACUCAGUUAGUAAGGACUGAAUCCACACCAUUUCUCAGUAACAUGAGUAACACUCUUGUAUUUGGCUUUUGCAGUAGAACGGGAGACAACCUGCUGUUUCCUGGAGCUCCAGA
rnacentral:lncRNA from 1 species